AAAACUUCAGUGAAGGGAAGAGUAAAAUUUACUAAGUAUCCAAAGCGAGUGGAGGGUGGUGAAAGCUCCAUGAGAAAAGUAAUAUUGAAAGACAUCCCAGAGAAACUUAUCUGAAAUAAAGUAGGAUGAGUCGGGUUACACCGUUAUAUGUAAUAAGAGAUGGCUUAGAGUUAUUUAACUUUAGUCAAGUAGAAUGGCACCGUGAAUAUAGCUUUCACUUCUAUC
rnacentral:ncRNA from 1 species